AGCUGCUCUCCCACCCCUCCCACUCCAAGGGGGCCUCGAGUCUCCCACCCCUUCCUCCGAUCUGAGUCUCUGCUGCACUCCGGGGACUGACAGGUCCUCGGCUCGUGGUCCCAUCCUCUCGCGUUCAGAGACUCGCCAGCUUACAAAAGCUCGGCUCGCCCCCCAUCUCACCCCCCAAGUGGAGAUUGGUCGUCUUGUCGGAUUGCCCAGGCACUUGUUGCCGAAACAGCCAAGGCUCCGGGUCCAGAGGGUGGUGACGAAGGAAGACACAGGAGCAAGGCGACCCUGAAGGAGGCACCCGCGGUCUCAAUCCUGAAAUAGACCCAGGUCUCUUCUUCCCACCUGGCCAGCAGCAUGUGAGCAGCAUGACUGACCAGCUGCAGGAGGAGCCCCCAGAGCCAGGACCCCGACACAGCCCGCUACCAAGGUCAAGGUGUGAAGGACGUCCCCCCACCACGGUGGUGUCUGGUCCGUACCUCAGCCCGAGUGAGGAUGUAGGCACCUCGGCUCCACUGAUGACUGGUUCAAGCCAACAGGGACCCCUGCCUCCAACCACCCUCACAGACAUGUCAGCCGUGGAGUAGGGUGGACUAUUUCUCUCAUCUUCUCAGGGUUUCAGGAUUUUUUUUCUUCAUUUCCUCUUUUUUGUUGUUGGUUUUUU